rnacentral:rRNA from 1 species
GAGAAGAUCAACAGGGAUUGCCCUAGUAACGGCGAGUGAAGCGGCAACAGCUCAAAUUUGAAAUCUGGCCCCUUUUCGGGGUCCGAGUUGUAAUUUGCAGAGGGUGCUUUGGCAUAGGCGGCGGUCUAAGUUCCUUGGAACAGGACAUCGCAGAGGGUGAGAAUCCCGUAUGUGGGCGCCUGCCUUUGCCGUGUAAAGCCCCUUCGACGAGUCGAGUUGUUUGGGAAUGCAGCUCUAAAUGGGAGGUAAAUUUCUUCUAAAGCUAAAUACUGGCCAGAGACCGAUAGCGCACAAGUAGAGUGAUCGAAAGAUGAAAAGUACUUUGGAAAGAGAGUCAAAAAGCACGUGAAAUUGUUGAAAGGGAAGCGCUUGCAGCCAGACUUGCCCGUAGUUGCUCACCCAGGCUUUUGCCCGGGGCACUCUUCUGCGGGCAGGCCAGCAUCAGUUUGGGCGGUUGGAUAAAGGCCUCUGUCACGUAUCUCUCUUCGGGGAGACCUUAUAGGGGAGGCGUAAUGCGACCAGCCCGGACUGAGGUCCGCGCAUCUGCUAGGAUGCUGGCGUAAUGGCUGUAAGCGGCCCGUCUUGAAACACGGACCAAGGAGUCUAACAUCUAUGCGAGUGUUUGGGUGUCAAGCCCGGGCGCGCAAUGAAAGUGAACGGAGGUGGGAACCCCUCGGGGUGCACCAUCGACCGAUCCUGAAGUCUUCGGAUGGAUUUGAGUAAGAGCAUAGCUGUUGGGACCCGAAAGAUGGUGAACUAUGCUUGAAUAGGGUGAAGCCAGAGGAAACUCUGGUGGAGGCUCGCAGCGGUUCUGACGUGCAAAUCGAUCGUCAAAUUUGGGCAUAGGGGCGAAAGACUAAUCGAGCAUCAUU